GGUCAUUGACAGCGCAAGGCUGCUGCCGCUGCCACAGUGGAAAGCGGCGGCGUAAAGAGGGUGAGACCCUGAGCUGAACUCCUGACAGUCCAGGGCUCCUUCAGAGGGCGCGGCCCGGAGACCAGGAGUUUGCAGCCAAGGCGGCGGGUUUGCGGUCUGCAGUGUCAUGAGGCUGGGGGAGGCGUUUGGAGGCCCAGCAACCUGACUCUGAAAUCAGUCAGGGGGCGUGUUGGAGGGGAGGCUGCCUCCAGGCUGGGUGCAGCAUGUCUAGUCUGGGGGCCUUGGGUGGCGCCCGCGCCGGGCUAGGACUGUUGCUGGGCACCGCCGCGGGCCUUGGAUUCCUGUGUGCCCUUUACAGUCAGCGGUGGAAAAGGACCCGGCGCCACGGCCAGAGCCAGUCAAACUCCCUGGACUAUACGCAGACUUCAGAGCCUGGACGCCACGUGAGGCCCUUGAGGGCUGUCCCAGGUGAGGCUGGCGAUGCUGCAGUGCUGUCCACUCUUCCACGAGCAGGGCAGGAGGAGGUACUGGACCGCCUGGAGUUUGUGCUGACCAGCCUGGUGGCGCUGCGGCGGGAGGUGGAGGAGCUGAGGAGCAGCCUGCAGGGGCUUGCUGGGCAGAUUGUGGGGGAGGUCCGAUCCCACAUUGAAGAGAACCAGAAAGUGGCUCGUCGGCGAAGGUUCCUGUUUUCCCGGGAGAGGAGUGACUCCACUGGCUCCAGCUCUGUCUACUUCACGGCCACCUCGGGGACCACAUUCACAGAUGCAGAGAGCGAAGGGGGUUACACAACAGCCAACGCUGAGUCUGACUACGAGCGGGACUCUGAAAGGGAGAGUGAUGAUGACGGGGAAGAUGAAGUGAGCUGUGAGACUGUGAAGAUGGGGAGAAGGGAUUCUUUGGACCUCGAAGUAGAGGUGGCUUUGGGGCCGGCGCCUGGAGCCCUGGAGGCUGGAGGUUCCCCUGGCCUGGAACAUGUGCUACCCCUCCUGCAGCAGGCAGACGAGCUGCACCAGGGCGAUGAGCAGGGCAAGCGUGAGGGCUUCCAGCUGCUGCUCAAAAACAAGCUUGUGCAUGGAAGCCGGCAGGACUUCCUCUGGCGCCUGGCCCGGGCCUACAGUGACAUGUGUGAGCUUGCUGAGGAGGCGAGUGAGAAGAAGUCCCAUGCCCUCAGUGGAAAAGAAGCAGCGGAGGCCGCCCUGGAGAAGGGGGAUGAGAAUGCUGAAAGUCACCAGUGGUAUGCAGUGCUUUGUGGUCAGCUGGCUGAGCAUGAGAGCAUCCAGAAGCGCAUCCAGAGUGGCUUUAGCUUCAAGGAGCAUGUGGACAAAGCCAUUGCUCUCCAGCCAGAAAAUCCCAUGACUCACUUUCUCCUUGGCAGGUGGUGCUACCAGGUCUCUCACCUGAGCUGGCUAGAAAAAAAGACUGCUACAGCCUUGUCUGAAAGCCCUCUCAGUGCCACCGUGCAGGACGCCCUCCAGAGCUUCCUAAAGGCUGAAGAACUGAAACCAGGAUUUUCCAAAGCAGGAAGGAUAUAUAUUUCCAAGUGCUACAGAGAACUAGGGAAAAACCCUGAAGCGAAACAGUGGGUGAAGCUGGCCCUGGAGCUGCCAGAUGUCACUAAAGAGGAGGAUCAACACAGGCAACAGGAGAGAUUUGCAUUGCCUCUCCUCUUGAUACUAGCUGAGAGGUCCUUUGAAAUUGGAAGAGCUGGUUAACACCCAUCCUGAGUAGAAGUCUGAAGGAGAAGGAGUAUCUGAAACCCCUGAAGUAGAAUAAUCUGGGGUGGCAGAUAAAAUCCUUCAAAUCACCAGAAUCCAUGGAAGAAAGAAAGGAUAUGAAUACAACAAAAGAGGGUUUUGAUAGAGGAAAGGUUUGAAACUACUGGCCAAGAGGACAAAAAGCAGAAAUUGCCUCAGUUUGGGGGGAGGAGAAAAUCUUGGUGUUUGGGGGGCUAUGUCCCUAAGAAUUAAGGUUCUCUCUUCUCUCAUUUUCUUGUGUCUUUAGUUCUACUAUGAGAGGGAGUUUUCUUUCCCAGAUAAACAGACCUCCUGAGGCAGAAGGGAGCCACUGCAGCCAUCGUGUAUUACUGGGCUGGGGCAGCACCAAGGUAGCUAUUUUUGAUAACUGCUUAGUACCAUAAUUCAACUCUUCUUCCUACUUUGUAGUGAUGCAGGUUGUUCUGAACUUUGACUAUUUUACACUUGAUCUUAGCCAAAAGGCCGAGAAGCGAUGAACUUUGACUAUUUUAUAAUGCUGUGGGGGGGGUGUGUAAAUUCUUUGUAAAUGUAUCCUUGAUUAUAUGUGAAAAGAUCUGUACAACAUAUUUUCUGUCAAGGGCAUGCACUUUUUAAAUUGGUACUUAGGUUAAACUGUCUUCUCAGAAUUUCAAAAUUACUCUUAGUACUUUGAAGAGACAUGGGCUAUUCAAUUUUGUAACCUAAGUAUGGCUCUCAACUUUACAUAACCUCAUUAUCAGACAGAUCUAAUACAUAAUGGGGUUUCACUUAAUUUAGCUGUAAAAUCUGAACAAAUGAGAAGUGAAAUAUUUAGAUUUAAACAGUAACUUAACAUCUCUACACCUCUGGUUCCAGCUCUUAGGCUAGUGACAUGUAAUCCUUUCUAUUACUGACGAAUUAGCAUUAUUUUUCUAUGAAAAAAUAUCAAAGAUCU